UACGAAGGGUGCAAGCGUUACUCGGAAUUACUGGGCGUAAAGGGCGCGUAGGCGGCCUUCUAAGUCGAACGUGAAAUCCCCGGGCUCAACCCGGGAACUGCGUCCGAUACUGGGAGGCUUGAAUCCGGGAGAGGGAUGUGGAAUUCCAGGUGUAGCGGUGAAAUGCGUAGAUAUCUGGAGGAACACCGGUGGCGAAGGCGGCAUCCUGGACCGGUAUUGACGCUGAGGCGCGAAAGCCAGGGGAGCAAACGGG
rnacentral:rRNA from 1 species